rnacentral:rRNA from 1 species
GAGCGAACGGACGAGAAGCUUGCUUCUCUGAUGUUAGCGGCGGACGGGUGAGUAACACGUGGAUAACCUACCUAUAAGACUGGGAUAACUUCGGGAAACCGGAGCUAAUACCGGAUAAUAUUUUGAACCGCAUGGUUCAAAAGUGAAAGACGGUCUUGCUGUCACUUAUAGAUGGAUCCGCGCUGCAUUAGCUAGUUGGUAAGGUAACGGCUUACCAAGGCAACGAUGCAUAGCCGACCUGAGAGGGUGAUCGGCCACACUGGAACUGAGACACGGUCCAGACUCCUACGGGAGGCAGCAGUAGGGAAUCUUCCGCAAUGGGCGAAAGCCUGACGGAGCAACGCCGCGUGAGUGAUGAAGGUCUUCGGAUCGUAAAACUCUGUUAUUAGGGAAGAACAUAUGUGUAAGUAACUGUGCACAUCUUGACGGUACCUAAUCAGAAAGCCACGGCUAACUACGUGCCAGCAGCCGCGGUAAUACGUAGGUGGCAAGCGUUAUCCGGAAUUAUUGGGCGUAAAGCGCGCGUAGGCGGUUUUUUAAGUCUGAUGUGAAAGCCCACGGCUCAACCGUGGAGGGUCAUUGGAAACUGGAAAACUUGAGUGCAGAAGAGGAAAGUGGAAUUCCAUGUGUAGCGGUGAAAUGCGCAGAGAUAUGGAGGAACACCAGUGGCGAAGGCGACUUUCUGGUCUGUAACUGACGCUGAUGUGCGAAAGCGUGGGGAUCAAACAGGAUUAGAUACCCUGGUAGUCCACGCCGUAAACGAUGAGUGCUAAGUGUUAGGGGGUUUCCGCCCCUUAGUGCUGCAGCUAACGCAUUAAGCACUCCGCCUGGGGAGUACGACCGCAAGGUUGAAACUCAAAGGAAUUGACGGGGACCCGCACAAGCGGUGGAGCAUGUGGUUUAAUUCGAAGCAACGCGAAGAACCUUACCAAAUCUUGACAUCCUUUGACAACUCUAGAGAUAGAGCCUUCCCCUUCGGGGGACAAAGUGACAGGUGGUGCAUGGUUGUCGUCAGCUCGUGUCGUGAGAUGUUGGGUUAAGUCCCGCAACGAACGCAACCCUUAAGCUUAGUUGCCAUCAUUAAGUUGGGCACUCUAAGUUGACUGCCGGUGACAAACCGGAGGAAGGGGGGGAUGACGUCAAAUCAUCCUGCCCCUUAUGAUUUGGGCUACCACGGGCUACAUGGACAAU